AUUGAACGCUGGCGGCGUGCCUAACACAUGCAAGUCGAGCGGUAACAGGUGUAGCAAUACAUGCUGACGAGCGGCGGACGGGUGAGUAACGCUUGGGAAUCUGCCUGUUAGUGGGGGACAACCCGGGGAAACGUCGGGCUAAUACCGCAUACGCACUACGGUGGAAAGCCGGGGACCGCAAGGCCUGGCGCUAACAGAUGAGCCCAAGUCGGAUUAGCUAAGUUGGUAGGGUAACGGCCACCAAGGCGACGAUCCGUAACUGGUCUGAGGGGACGACCAGUCACACCGGAACUGAGACACGGUCCGGACUCCUACGGGAGGGCAGCAGUGGGGAAGUAUUGGACAAUGGGCGAAAGCCUGAUCCAGCGACGCCGCGUGGGUGAAGAAGGCCUGCGGGUUGUAAAGCCCUUUCAGUGGGGGAAGAAAAGCCUCGACCUAACACGUCGGGGUCUUGACGUAACCCAUAGAAGAAGCACCGGCUAACUC
rnacentral:rRNA from 1 species